GCCUCUGUAGCUCAGUUGGUUAGAGCACUGCACCGGAAUCGCAGGGCCGUAGGUUCAAUUCCUACCAGAAGAC